GGAGGAGAAAAGUAGUUCCAGCCGUAAUGUGUGUUGUACACACUUCUCCAUGAACCUUGGAUGCAUCUUGUGCUUCUGCACUCCAAUGGGCUUUCUCCAUGAAACUAUCUCUCCUGUGGACAUGAAUCCAUACCCAAAUUAUAGUACAGGAGACAAGAAGGCUGGCUAUCAUCACUCCUAUUCUACAUUGUACUGGAGUCCUUCUAGCACAAAAAGCAACAUACAUAAAUACAAGGAAAUACAAGUUUGGGGACUAAAGUAUGCAAAAGAAAUGCGUUCUGUGUCCUGUUCUGUGUCAGGGAUGGAAAAUGGUGACACUUCUCGUUCUGCCACAAAUGUGUUGAUGCUGUUUGAGUGUGACAAUGAAGCAGAAACACCAUAUUCAGUUUCCUUUUGGAAAUGUCAACGAGAAUUCGUCUAGCUUCCAAGUUGCAUUGCAAGCUGAGAACUCCUUUCCCCAAAUGUGUCCAGAAAGAGUUUUUGUUUCUUGCCCAUAACAUGCCAAGUGAAUUGAUUUUCUAAGAUUCUGUAAUAUAAUGUUGACUCUUAAUUUUGGUUUAAUCAUUUUAGUUAUGUAUCAGCUCAAAAGCCAAAUUAACUAUGUUCUUAUUUUAGUUGUGAAAACAAAUUCCAGCACAAGCAGCCAUCCAGGAAUGUCUUUGCCACCUUGUCUGUUGGCACAAAUUCUUCCUGAGAUGAUUUGGGGAAGGUGCUCUGUGAUUUCAG
rnacentral:lncRNA from 13 species